UUUCUGAGUUGCACCGUGAUAGUCACUGCUGAGAUCCCCAGGGAGGAGAAGAGCGACGAGGUGUGCACAGUAACACCUGAACCUUUCACAGCACUGCUGACCAGAGCCACAGCGCAAGCAGCCAGAUUGAACCGAGGGAAAGCCACAGGACUGCCCUUGCAGGUCAUCUCAUCCAAGACCUGGAUGGAGGCACUGAAACUCUCCUCCUCCUGCAGCUUGAAAGUCAUGAGCUCCUUAUCCCCCCUGGGGCUUCUGCAGAACCGGCAUGUUUGGCGUCAUGUACCCUUUCUCUCCUGGCAUCUAAAAAGAGUUACGGGAUGGUGACAAGGGUAUGGAGCAGCUUCUGCCCAAGGAAUUCUGAGAUGGCUUUUAACCAAGAACAUACAUUCACAAAAUAUGCCUGCAAACCACAAGUGGCAAAAUCUGAACCU